rnacentral:rRNA from 1 species
AUGGCUCAGAUUGAACGCUGGCGGCAUGCCUUACACAUGCAAGUCGAACGGUAACAGGUCUUCGGACGCUGACGAGUGGCGAACGGGUGAGUAAUACAUCGGAACGUGCCCAGUCGUGGGGGAUAACUACUCGAAAGAGUAGCUAAUACCGCAUACGAUCUGAGGAUGAAAGCGGGGGACCUUCGGGCCUCGCGCGAUUGGAGCGGCCGAUGGCAGAUUAGGUAGUUGGUGGGAUAAAAGCUUACCAAGCCGACGAUCUGUAGCUGGUCUGAGAGGACGACCAGCCACACUGGGACUGAGACACGGCCCAGACUCCUACGGGAGGCAGCAGUGGGGAAUUUUGGACAAUGGGCGAAAGCCUGAUCCAGCAAUGCCGCGUGCAGGAUGAAGGCCUUCGGGUUGUAAACUGCUUUUGUACGGAACGAAAAAGCUUCUCCUAAUACGAGAGGCCCAUGACGGUACCGUAAGAAUAAGCACCGGCUAACUACGUGCCAGCAGCCGCGGUAAUACGUAGGGUGCGAGCGUUAAUCGGAAUUACUGGGCGUAAAGCGUGCGCAGGCGGUUAUGUAAGACAGAUGUGAAAUCCCCGGGCUCAACCUGGGAACUGCAUUUGUGACUGCAUGGCUAGAGUACGGUAGAGGGGGAUGGAAUUCCGCGUGUAGCAGUGAAAUGCGUAGAUAUGCGGAGGAACACCGAUGGCGAAGGCAAUCCCCUGGACCUGUA